rnacentral:rRNA from 1 species
AUGUUUUUGCUGCCACUCACCCACCCAAAAUCUGCUACCAUGGUGAUCUUUGCUGGAACCGGCGAAUCAUUUUGCUACAACCGUUUUGGUUUUUGUUACUACCGACGUUUGUGGAUUUUUGCUAUAUCAACCUCCAUGACAUGUGACCCCUGCGACUCUGUUUUUUGCUUCAACCAGCCAUUGUUUUUGCUGGAACUAUCCAACAUUUUUGCUGGAACCAGCGAUUUUCAUGGAUGCGAGUACGGAAGCAUUUUUCUUCAUUGGGAUCGGCAUGUCAUUUUUUAUACAACCGGCGAGCAGUUUUGCUUCAACCAAUAUCUUUUUUUGCUGGAGCCCAUGUGUUUUCUAGAGAUGCAGAGCAUUUUUUCUUCAUUGGGAUCGCCAAGCAAUUUUUGCUACAACCGACAAGAAGUUUUGCUUCAACCAGCAUCUAGUUUUGCUGGAACCAGUAUUUCGAAAGCUGUGACAACCGAAGCCAACGACGGCGACUCGGCCAACGACGGCGAUCCGGCGAGCGGCGGUGGUCCGGCGAGCUUCAGGGACGACCCUGAGGACCCGCUGCGGGGCGAGGGGGAGAGGGGGUGGCCACCAUGCGUGGACCUACGAGUGGAUCAGGACGCGAAUAACAGAGUGGGGGAAGGAAGAAGAACGACCCGGAUGGAUGAGGAUCCAAUGGCUUAG